rnacentral:sRNA from 1 species
ACAAACUUAUAUCCCCUUCACCCAGUAAUGCUUAGUUUCAAGUUUGAUUUAAAUUGGUCCAGUGGUUUUGGAGAAGAUGCAAAAAUGACAACACCAACGAUAGACAACGGACAAAAUCAUAAAAGCUCACAUGAGUCUCCAAUAAGAGUUGGUUUUAACAUUAAUAUUUUAAUUUUUGAUUGAAUAUUUUAUGAAUUCCCAUAUGAUAGAAAAUAUUUAAAAUGUUUAAAUUAAAAACAACAUUGAUAUUAGAUUGUUUAUGAGGACUAUAUAAAAUUAGUAUGCUUUAUACUGAUUUAAUAGUGUUGGGGUUUUUUCAAAUACAAUGGUGAUGAAAUCUGUUGAUCGAUAAUUACAAGAUUAGUUAAGUUUGAAUUUUAUUGUUUAAAGGACUUGGAAAUUUUGGGGAACAAGAAGUCGGUAAUGUUAAACAGUUUGUGCUUAUGCGGACGCGUUCAUACGAAAUUGUUCAAAAGUUUUUAACAUCCGUGUAUAGCGUAUAAGGAAAUAGCUUUUAUCAAUAUAAAAUAUCUUUUGCAGCUAUUAUCGCAUAAAGCAAACUAUUGUGUAAAUAUAGAAUAUCAGAGCAUGCCCCUUACGUUGUUUACCUUGUAAAUGAACAUUCUGUAUUGAAGACGACAUUUUGUUCUAGUAUUCCCGGCACUUUCGGAUACGUAAAACCUUAAUAUUACAACAACAAAAAACUCCCAGCUACUUCAAAUUUAUUCAGAAACUGGAAAGCUUCAAAGCUGAGAGAGAAUUUGUUUGCUAUCUUAUUUUUUUUCAUAGCUCCUUUGGUCAAAAAAGAAAAUUUUAAAAAAUAAAUAAGUAGAUAUACAAGUAUACAUCUGUACUAUAUUUUUUAUAAGAUUGACUUGGUUCUAGUCUGAACGGUGUCCUCAUACUGUUCAUGCAGUAACUGUCUCUUUUUAAAGAACCAACAUGUGAUUAUAUUUAUUGUGUUCAAAACUUUUAAUAUCUCUAUGAUGUGUUAUACAUUAGCGUUAAAAAAAGUUAGUUAGCAGAUAUACUAGUGUACAGUUGAAAUAAGAUUAGCUUGAUUUUUGCCUGCACGGUGUUCUCACACUGUUUAGUAUUUUGGAGUCUGGUGUUUAUAGCAAUUGUCUCUUUUUUAAGAACAAACUAAAUUGUGUUCAUAUUUAUGUGUUCAACAACUCUAUUAUAUAU